CAUUCAAAAAAUCAGAUCACUCAUCGCUGCUUCUCCAAACCUAUGCUUUGACUACAACUUCUAGAUUUUUCCUUUUGUGUUCACUUCUCUCACUCAAAUCUCUGCUUCCGUCGCACUCUAUCUUCUUCUUUCGCUUCUCCUGUGAAAAUCUCAGCAUUAAAUUAGUUUUCAUGUGUCCUUAAAACGUUAAUCUUUAGCCUCUCUAAAAAUCCAUCUGAAAAAAUGUAUAAUGGGUAUUGUUUCUCUCUACAGGUUACUUGGAGAAGUCUGUGAAGGGUCAAUAGGACAAGGUGGAUUGCGUUUCAAAGUACAAAAAAUACAGGGCCUGCCUCUCUAUGCGUUUCCAGUCUUCCAAAAAUCGUGUUCGUGGAGGCGAUUUGAGACAGAUUUGAAGCUCGGCUACAGAGAUUUGAUUCAAAUUGGUGGAUUUGGCAAAUUAUAUAUAUAGUUUGCAGGUGCUUCCAAGGGACCUGCUCUAUGCUCUCGCUUCCCAAUUGCCUCUGUUGGGUUUGGAAAAGCUACAGACAGCAUUGAAUUGGAAGAAUGAUGAAAGUGCUUACAUUUUGUUGCAAGAGUUGGAAUUUCAAUAUUGCGUGGAGGAAGUUCCUUGGGAAAAAAUUGAGCAUAUAUAUUGAAGCUGUUUCAGAGGGAGAAUGGACCUCUCUCAGUGGGAUUUACACUGUUGAGGAGGUAGAUUUCAUGUCCCAGUUGCUUGGAAACUUUGUAAACCAGACAUCAAUCAUCGGAAUAGAUCCAGAUUUGGCCUGGAGGCAACUAUGAAGAUUUGAGCACCCUCCCCUCACUCUCUCGAUCAUAUAUUGGUCCUUCUUUCAAGGUAGUCAAUUUUUAUGACCGACUUUGUGAGUAUAUCCUUAUAUAUCAUCAU